CCAGCAGCUGCGGUAAUUCCAGCUCCAAUAGUGUAUAUUAAAGUUGCUGCGGUUAAAAAGCUCGUAGUUGGAUUUCGGGAGUGUUCGUUCAAGGCCCGUCGCAAGGCGUGGUCGGAAUGAUGCUUCCUAUUUGUUGGGUAAUGGUCCUGGCUCGCAAGGGUCGGGGUAGCCGUUCCCAGCCGUUUACUUUGAAAAAAUUAGAGUGUUCAAAGCAGGCGUAAGCCAUUGAAUACUACAGCAUGGGAUAAUAGAAUAUGACUUUGGUCUUAUUUUGUUGGUUUCUAAGGCUGAGGUAAUGAUUAAAAGGGAUAGUUGGGGUCGCUCGUAUUGAGUUGUCAGAGGUGAAAUUCUAGGAUUUACUCAAGACGAACUAAUGCGAAAGCAUUCGACAAGGAUGUUUUCAUUAAUCAAGAACGAAAGU
rnacentral:rRNA from 1 species